GAGACACCCCUCCGGGGCAAGACUUGCUUCAGUGGGGCUUUGGUGCUCACUGAGUCUGCUCCCUGCAUGUGUCCUU
rnacentral:pre_miRNA from 1 species